AGGGGAUUCGCCUAGCUGGCCUAAGGCAGUGGACUUUGAAUUCACUAUCACUGGUUCGAAUCCAGUAUCCCCCG
rnacentral:tRNA from 2 species